UACGUAGGGGGCAAGCGUUGUCCGGAUUUAUUGGGCGUAAAGAGCGUGUAGGCGGCCUGACAGGUCUGCUGUGAAAACUCGAGGCUCAACCUCGAGAUGUCGGCGGAAACCGUCUGGCUAGAGUCCGGAAGAGGAGAGUGGAAUUCCUGGUGUAGCGGUGAAAUGCGCAGAUAUCAGGAGGAACACCGAUGGCGAAGGCAGGUCACUGGGCCGCAACUGACGCUGAGGAGCGAAAGCAUGGGGAGCGAACAGG
rnacentral:rRNA from 1 species